rnacentral:rRNA from 1 species
UACGUAGGUGGCAAGCGUUGUCCGGACUUAUUGGGCGUAAAGCGCGCGCAGGCGGUCCUUUAAGUCUGAUGUGAAAGCCCACGGCUCAACCGUGGAGGGUCAUUGGAAACUGGAGGACUUGAGUGCAGAAGAGAAGAGUGGAAUUCCACGUGUAGCGGUGAAAUGCGUAGAGAUGUGGAGGAACACCAGUGGCGAAGGCGACUCUUUGGUCUGUAACUGACGCUGAGGCGCGAAAGCGUGGGGAGCAAACAGG